rnacentral:rRNA from 1 species
UGCCUAACACAUGCAAGUCGAACGGUAACAGGAAGCAGCUUGCUGCUUUGCUGACGAGUGGCGGACGGGUGAGUAAUGUCUGGGAAACUGCCUGAUGGAGGGGGAUAACUACUGGAAACGGUAGCUAAUACCGCAUAACGUCGCAAGACCAAAGAGGGGGACCUUCGGGCCUCUUGCCAUCGGAUGUGCCCAGAUGGGAUUAGCUAGUAGGUGGGGUAACGGCUCACCUAGGCGACGAUCCCUAGCUGGUCUGAGAGGAUGACCAGCCACACUGGAACUGAGACACGGUCCAGACUCCUACGGGAGGCAGCAGUGGGGAAUAUUGCACAAUGGGCGCAAGCCUGAUGCAGCCAUGCCGCGUGUAUGAAGAAGGCCUUCGGGUUGUAAAGUACUUUCAGCGGGGAGGAAGGGAGUAAAGUUAAUACCUUUGCUCAUUGACGUUACCCGCAGAAGAAGCACCGGCUAACUCCGUGCCAGCAGCCGCGGUAAUACGGAGGGUGCAAGCGUUAAUCGGAAUUACUGGGCGUAAAGCGCACGCAGGCGGUUUGUUAAGUCAGAUGUGAAAUCCCCGGGCUCAACCUGGGAACUGCAUCUGAUACUGGCAAGCUUGAGUCUCGUAGAGGGGGUAGAAUUCCAGGUGUACCGUGAAUGCGUAGAGAUCUGGAGGAAUACCGUGGCGAAGCGCCCCUGGACAAAAACUGACCUCAGUG